rnacentral:snoRNA from 1 species
UAAUUGCAUGAUGAACAAUUACUUUCGCCCCUAACUGAAAAAAAAUUCAUGUUGAGUGCGAAUUGAUUGGUCUUACUGAAGUUCAAUU